CGGCGGUGGACGAGAUGUUCCCCGAGGGCGCCGGGCCCUACGUGGACCUGGACGAGGCCGGAGGUAGCACCGGGCUCCUGAUGGACUUGGCAGCCAACGAGAAGGCAGUUCACGCAGACUUUUUCAAUGAUUUUGAAGAUCUGUUUGAUGAUGAUGACAUCCAGUGAGACGCCGUCCAGGGGCGCGUGUGCGCGUGUGCUCACGCCUGCACUGUACUGCUGUGGUGGAGCUCCGCAAAGGACAAUUUCAGAUGGCUCUAAAGAACUUGUGGACGUUACUAGAAAUUAGGAGGUGGUUACCAAGAAAGAGAAGGAUGGUUUUAAAUAUCUGCAUGAGGCCCGCUAAUCUCUAAAUGUGACCAACUUUUGUCCUUCAAUUAAAAGAAAAAGUGAUGCCGUCAUUGCAGGGUAAUUUUAAUUCUUGAAUUUUCAAGCAAAUGUUACAAUCCCUGAAAGUCUCUGUGCUUACGUGUGGGUGUGUGUGUGUUGGCAUGGAGAGUGAAACACUUGUCAGCCUACAAGUACACACUACGCUCUUUUCCCCGUAUGCAGUAUCGAGUAAUUGUGAGGGCUCACCCCCUGCAAAGUGUGGGCUAGACAGCGGUGUCGGGUGUGCACGUGGCCCUCCUCACAGCACGCUGGUCAGACCUUACUCUGGGCAGAUGCGCCUGGCACGGUCCCCCCCGCUCCCCCAAGCUGGGCCUCGGGUCACCUGCCCUAGCACUAGAGCAGCUGCUGUUGCGAGACCCGAGGCUUGAAGACUCAAGACAGCUAGAUAAUGACCCUGACGGAGGUGCCUUCCUUGUGAGAAAUGUGUAUGUUGGGCCAUUUCAAAGAGGAUGUAACACCUAAGGGAGAAAAAGGUAUUUUUGACUUUCUUUUUGGCCCAGCUCAGCUAUAGAUAAUGGCUGUAAAAACUAAGAUUUCUAUUUCAUGUCGAUGUCAAAGUGAAGAGUGUUUUCUUCGGCCAGGAAGCGCCCAUGCCACAGGACUACAGCGCUCCGCAUAUCUUAGAGAUGAGCAGGGCCACUGAGUAGAUGCUCAGCACAUGCUGACCUCCCCCGGGACAACGCGCUGGACAGCAUCACCUGGUAGCCCGAAGAGAGAUGAAGGUCUAACCUGGAGGAGCCCUCACCUCUGCUGCGUCCCCGUGAGUGCUGUGCGGGCUUCCAGUCUGUCACUUAGACGGUGCUCCUGCCCUGCCCUGGGAGAACUAGUCUGGCAAGCUGCCCUGGGCCCACACGAGAGCGGGUUACGGCCCAGUGUCCCUGCCAGACAGGACAGGACAGGUGUGGUCUGCUGUGUCGGAAGCCCCUUCCUCUGAGGCUCGGGGCCCCAAAGCACAGGCUGCCUCACAGGCGAGCUGCGCACUCUCUGCCUUCUGAGAGCGGCUUUCUUGGUGCUUAGCUUAAUUCACGAGCGGUUUCUACUGUUUGCUAAGUGGGUUUCUCAGAACAGGCCCACAAGUGUCUGGGGAGCAGGUAGGUGUGGGGGUGAAUUCUUUGGGGUUACCCUACAGUCCUCAUCCGUUGAGGUUUUCAACAGCCCUGUGUGGUUUGUGCCGUUUUGCGUCGGGGCUGGCUGGGGCUCAGACCCGCAGCGACCCUGCAGUGACCCCUGUGUUGAGUGUCACCAAGGAGCUGUGGGCCCCGCCCAACCCCCCUCACCUGUCGGGCCUCCUUCUUUGUCGGGCCUCCUUCUUUGUCGGCAGACGAGGCCCUUGGUCCCUGACAUGGCUCCUGGUUCUUGGGCCUCUGCUUGUCAGCAGGAGGGGGUGGCCCGAGGUGGAGGAAGGGGAACCAGAGCACGGGAACUCCAUGGCUGCAGUGGGGAGCUCUGUGUGAGCCUUAGAAUCCCGGGCGAGUCUGGUCCCGGCAGCUGUGUGAGUGCUAAUCCCCGUGUGUGUGACACACGCGGUUAGACCCGUUAGGCAUUUGUGCCCUGGACCACCUUUUGCCUUCACAGAAGCUGCAGCUUCCUGGUGCCAUGAGGCUCAGAGACAAAAUUUGCACCUUCUCCCCCUUUGUCUCGCUGCACCUCGGCCAUCCCCAUGGGGAAGCGGCGAGUACGGUAGGAGACAGCAGCAUCCGCUUGUCCUGUGCGUGUGCGGACUCUUGCCGUUGUCAGUCAUGUGUCUUCAUUGACAGUGGCAAAAACACACUUCCUCUAAUUUUUUCUACCUCCUUGCCUUGAUCAUGGGGCCUCGUGUGCCCAUCUCUGGCACAUUUAGAAAUGCUGUGGGACCCCUGGGGGGCUCAGCGGUGGAGCGCCUGCCUUCAGCUCAGGUCAUGAUCCCGGGAUUGAGUCCCACAUCGGGCUGCCCGCUGGGAGCCUGCUUCUCCCUCUGCCUGUGUCUCUGCCUCUCUCUCUGUCUCUCAUGAAUAAAUAAAUAAAUCUUAAAAAAAA
rnacentral:lncRNA from 1 species